CAGCCUUCUGGCGCCAGCAGUGGACAUGGUUGCAGAAAGCAACCAGUGAGAAUUACUUUCAAUUUUCCAUCUGCCACACAGAGAAGGAGCUGAGAAACUGGUUGUCAGAAAAAAGGCAUCCCCUUUGCGCUGGCCACCAGGUUGAAGUCUGCAUCGUUUGAGAUGAAGACAAGCCGCCACAAGGAGAUCUUCAGCUUGUUUUCCCAGACUGUGCUGGGAGAUGACCCCAAAGUGCAGCGUGGCAAGCCAGACCCCGACAUCUUCCUAGCUUGCGCCAAGAGGUUCUCUCCCACUCCUGCCGUGGAGAAGAUUGUCUACAGCUCCUUUCAUGCAACAAUGGCAGAAAUGAAUGUUUGCAACAGAGACCAGAAAGGACUAAAAU